UAAAUUUUAAAAGAGUUGUAGUCUGGGCCAGAUGGGUUGAAGGCCCAAGGAGGCCUACAAUAGACGAGGUGGCGGAGGUUGGCGAUGUUGUUGGAGAUGACGUCGUUGCUGUCUUUUGGGGAAUACACGGUGCUCUUCCUUUUGCGUCCCCUCCUCGCCAUAGCGUUCGUUCUCCUCUUAAUAUCCUUUGGUUGGUUUGUGGCGUGGAAACUGGUGCUGGUUCACGUGCCUUUGGUGCAAGAGGUUUUUGGCCUUAAAAAGAAAAUUUUUCGACCUAAGCCCCCAACUGGUCGCUUCUCCAAAAUUUAUAGCGCCAUUCAUGCCCAAAACUAACCUUCCACUCGUUUGUAUUUUCAUUGAUUGAGGCAAAAUUUUGGAACAAUGUAGAGAUGACUUGUUGGAGACCCUGUCUUGGACAGUAGAACAGACCAGAUAAUGAUUCAUUGAUUGAAAUAAAUGAUGAAAUUUCAAGUAACAGGCUACAAGCUACAUGCUUCAAAAACUGGAGAUUGGGAUAUUGUAUCCCUUGUACAUAAUGUUACUUAACAUUAUAAACUAUGAAUGGUUUUACUCCAUUCAGUGAUAUGUGUGGAACUAAAUUAUCAAUUUCAUAUGAUAAUAAUGAAUUAUGAUUUAUUUUUA